UAUUUAUACUGAAAUGAAUCAAUGGAUAGUGUGAGAUAUCUCCUCCAAGCUUCCAAUCCAAUGAGCUUUUGAAUUACUAUAAAAUAGGGACAAUGAAACAAAGCAAGCUUUAAAGCUUAGUAAGUUUGUAUAACAUGAAAUUUAACUUACCAUUUAUCAUUUAAGGUAAGCAAACUAAAUAUACUCAAACCAAUUUGUGCAAUUGCCUAACACACAUCCUCAUCCAUCAUGUUAGUCAUGUAUUGUAACACCCCAAACCUGGCCUAGACGUUACGGCCGAAUCUGACAUGUCACAUAGAAGUGUUCUUCUAAAAUCGAAGUCUAAUAAAGAAAAUCGUUUGGUAAAAAUCCAAUUUAUUCUUACCUCUUAAAAUCAUUUGGUACAUUAUAAAACCACCAUGCGGUAAAACGGUUUGUUAUUGGAGGUUUAAAAUUAGCAGAAGCUACUUCAUUUAAGGUUAUUUUGAAGUUGAAAAUAUGUGUUUGUCUUGAAAAAAAACAGUGUUUAUUAUGAAAACUUAUUUGUACCCGUUAAGCAGUUCAAAAUAAAUAAAUAAACCCAUUUUAAAGAAAAUUAAAAUACCAAAGGUCUUAUUACAUAAAAAACAACCCAAAGUAAACUUUAAAAGAAAUCAGUCUAGAAUAAAAAUACUAGCGAAUGUGUGGCCACCUCCAAGUCCCUCGCAGCUCCAAAUCAACUAAGGUUGGGGAUUACCUGCACAGUUAGAAGAAAAUGGUGAGUUACGAGAACUCAGUGUGUAAUCCCCUAUCAUGCAGUAACAAACUAGGCCUAAGCCAUUUCCAGUAUCAGUGUGGGCUUUAGCCCAAUACAAUAUCAGAACAGUGUGGGCCUUAGCCCAACAUAAUAACAGUGUGGGCUUAAGCCUGUUAUAGUAUCACUAUGGUGCAAAUAUGCAAAACCCACCCCAAUUCAGCCCAACACACCACCCGUACCAACCCUACACACCAUAUGGGGACAAAGUCGACCCACCCAGCCCAUACACCAAUAUUGCAGCAUAGCUGCCAGCAAUAAAAACGCAGCCGAGCUGCCAGUACAGUAUAUGUGGCAUAGCCACCAGUAACAGUGAUUGUGGCAGAGCCACCAGAAACAGUACUUCCUCCAUAACAGAAACCCAACCCAUGCAGUGUUAAAUAAAUAUGUCAUACUCACGAAUUAUACGUACAUGCAAUAUGCCAUACUCAGUAUCAGUUAAAUAAAUAUCAUAAAGCCAUACCAAUAAUUUCAUUUACUAGGGUAUACCGGUCAAUCUACCCUUCUGGAGGUAUUUCAAUAAUUUUACCCUACGGAGGUAUUUCGAUAAUUUACCCAUCGGGGGUAUUUCAGUAAUUUACCUAUUGAGAGUAUUUUGGUAAUUUACCCAUCGAGGGUAUUUUGGUAAUUUACCCAUCGAGGGUAUUUUGGCAAUUUACCCAUCGAGGGUUUUCGAUAAUUUACCCAUUGAGGGUAUUUCUGUGAUUUACCCAUUGAGGGUAUUUCUGUGAUUUACCCAUCGAGGGUAUUUCGAUAAUUUACCCAUCGAUGGUAUUUCAGUAAUUUACCUAUUGAGGGUAUUUCUGUAAUUUACCCAUUAAGGGUAUUUUGGUAAUUUACACAUUGAGGGUAUUUUGGUAAUUUACCCAUCGAGGGUAUUUUGGUAAUUUUUAUCCGUGUGGGCCCAAGAGCCCAUUAGGGCCCAUAACGGCCCAAGUGCACGAAAACACUUGUGGUGGCCUCAUCAGUCUACCGCUUUCGGUUGUGGGCUCGAUUUUUUUUCACACGAGCGAUUGCACACUCAGAUGCCAAAGUUUCAGUUUUCCAGCUUUUGCCGAUUCUUAACAGAAAAUAAUGUGAUUACACACCUGUUUGUGAAAGCUUUGCCAAACACCCUCUUGGCACCAACCUACAUAGAUUUACACACUCAAUCAAUCCUUCAAUCAACGGUAUUUCCCAAUACUUAACCCACGCUUAAACCAACACCACUUACCACGAUUAUAAGAACUAUGACCUAAUCUUUUACGAUUCUUGAUCGAGGCACGGUUCCCCCUUUUGAUGAUUAUCUGAUCAAACAACGAUAGUUAUUGAACGACAAGGUUACUUAAGAAUUAUUCCACAUGAAAGUUCACGGCAUAAAAGGCUUACCUAUCAACUUACCCUUAAUGAUCCAACUGGUUGAUGAAAGAGAUUUGAAACGCCUCCACGCCCUAGAGAAAUUUCCUUUCUCUUCUGGCAACUUAGCACCCUAAAUUGUGGAUGACGAAUUUGGUUAGAGAGGCUUAGGCACAAUCGGACAAGCAUAGAAGAUGACCUACCUUGAAGAAUUCGGUUGAGGUGGAGGUGCAUUCAGUUUUGAUAGAGAAGAUAAAUGGAGGAGGUUUCAGUUUUUGGCAAAAAAUGAAGACCCCAAAAGAUGUUAUCUUUUUCGCAAUUGAAAGAAAAGAAGAGAUGAUAGCUACUUGGUUAUCUCAGAAACUAAACGCAAAAAAAAAAUCGAACAAAAAGAAAUAAAACUUGAAUGGUAAGACUGGAGAGCAAAGAAAACUCAGUCACCCAAGGCUUCCCAAAUGCCGAAAUACUCCCAAAACCCCCUCUAGCCGAAUUUUGCACAAACAAGAGUCCCAUUCGGCACAACCUCCCCACUCACCUCAACUCAUUGAUUAUCUCCACCAUUUCCUCUAUAACCGCCUCCUAGAUUUUCUCCCACAACUCUCCAUGACUAAAUUCAAACUCCACCAUGUAGAGUCUCAAUCCAACUCUACUUUUCAGGUUGCCAAGGAGUAAAAUAAAUACUGCUUUGCUAUUCAAGGGAUUCAAACUCAAGCUCCCUUGCCACAUUAAUCACGCCACUGCCACUGGGCCACAAGCUCAUCUUAUGCUCCAUUUUUCUCCAAGAACUAUUCUUAGGGCCUUCAGGCCAGCUUCAAGGUUCCCUUAAGAAGAAAAAAAAAACAAAAUUUCGCUAGAGUCUAGGUUUGAUCCUAGGACUUUUCACACACUCCCAAACACACUCAAUUCACUUAGCCAUUAAAGCAAACAAGCUACUUGCAUCAAAUAUAAAAAAUUUAAAGACCCCAUAUUUUUGGGGCGUUACAUGUAUUUCAUAGAAAUAUCAAGAAGUAUAUAUGAGCUCAAUAAUAAUCAAAUUGUCAUAUACAUAAAUUUUCCAUAUCAUGUGUCCAUAUAACAUGUACAAAUCAUUUCCUUAUAUUUCAGAUAUAUUUGGGUAAUAAUUCAUUUUGAAUCCAUAUUAUCUCGUUUUAGAACUUUACCCGUUGAACUCUUUAAAUUAUCGAUGGAUACACGAGUAGUACACACGAAGUGUAUAAAACUGUAAUCCGUCAAUUCAUGUAUUACCCGUCAAUUCAUAUUCAGGAAUGCUCAUAAGAGCACAUAAACGAGAAGCUCUUCCGAGCCAUAUAACGGGAAGCUCAUGUGAGCCAAUUAACUAAUCAAGAAGCUCGUGCGAGCCGUAUAUAGGUAAGCUCCAGAGAGCCAUUAGUUGGAAAGUUUAUGAAAGAGCCUUUAAUCGGGAAGCUCCGGAAAGCCAUUAAUCAGGAAGCUCAUAAGAGCUAAUUAUCGGGAAGCUCCGAAGAGCCAAUUAACAGGACACUCAUAAGAGCUACGGUGUGUCCGCAACAUAUGCAAGAUCACAACCAAAUUGGGAUGCUCAUAAGAGCUAUUAACGGGAUGCUCUUGCGAGCUGUGGUGUGUCUACAACGUAUGCAAGACCACAACCAAUUCAGGAACCCUGUAUCCAUCGAAUUUCAUUUGUUCAAACGAGACUUAACACUUGUCAAACAUUAUCGUAUAUGUGAUUCAUUCUUAUGCAUGAAAAUUUUAUACAUUUUACAUACAUAACAUUCAAUUCAAACAUAUAAAUAUACAAUUUAUUACACGAACUUAUCUCAACAAUGUUCGUGUACACAAAAGCUACUAAUCCGUUACUUUCUCUUUUCCACGAUCUAACCCUAUAUUCAAUCUAUCCAAAUGAAUUUAACAUCAAUUUAUAUUCAAUUCAAUUCACAUCUUUGGAAAAAUUACAUUUUGCCCCUAUACUUUUAGUUAAUUAUGAUUUCAUCCCUAGGCUCGGAAAAUAAAAUUCAUGCAAUUUAAUCCUUAUUACAAGCCUAGCCGAUUUUUACAUGUAACAAUAGAAGCCCAUGUAUUUCAUAUAAUUUAGAAUUUUUCUAUAAAUUUUACAUCUUUUCAAUUUAGUCUUUAAAUCACAAUUUCAUCAAAAUUAUUUUUACAAAAGUUGUUUAUCUAUCAACAACAUGUCAUUUUAUACCAUAAAACUUCAUAAUUCUCACAUACUCAUCCAUGUAAAAACCCUAGUACUUUGAUAAAUUAAUCCCCGAGAUACCUAGAUUAAGCUAUUACGAUCUUGGAAACAUAAAAAUCAUUAAAAAUGGGACAAGAAUGCUUACCCAAUUAAGCCAAGUAAGCUUUCUCAAAACUCUAUAACCAUGGCUAGGGUUUCCAUGUCUUAUUUUUAGGAAAGAUGAUAAAAUGAUGAUAUUUUGUUUUAUUUUAUUAUUUAUCAUCUUUUUAUCUUUUACUUUCCAAUUUCAUCCUUUUCUUUAUUGAAUUUUCCAAUGAUGAAUAAUCAUGUUUAUCUACUAACUCUUCUAAUAUUUUUCAUAUAAGGACCUCAAAUUUUGAAUUUCAUAGCUAUUUGAUUCCUUUAGCUACUAUACUUCAACUUUUUCACUUUAUGCAAUUUGGUCCUUUACAUCAAAUUAAAUAUGAAAUCGGUAAAAUUUCUUUACAAAAUUUUCAUAUAACCUUUCUAUCAUAAUGUAGACCACAAAAUAAUAUUAAAAUGAUUUUCCUAUAUUGGUAGAUGCAAACAACUUAAUUCUAUUAUUAAAAAUGUUAAACACUUUAAAAAUGUAAGUUACCUUAUGUUAAUUACUUGGAGAUAUUUGAGAUGAUGAAAAUCAAGGCACGAAAUAGAUUUUGAGAUAGAAUAAUAUUUUGUAAUCCAUUUAGGAAUUGAGAUAGAAAAUUGAGAGGAAAUGAAUUUUGAGAAUGAAAAUUAAAUUUGGUAUUGACUGAAUGGAGUGAGAAAACAUUAAAUUUGGUUUGGGUAUAUAUAGAGGAUUUUAGGGACUUUGGGGAAAUUUUCUUUUUUUCUUUCAUCGUUGAAAUUAAAUAUUUUCAUUUAAAAUUUAUUUAACCAUUGGGCCAUCAGUUAAAAAUCAAGAGCCCUGGUUUUUUAAUUGUUGACAUCCAACGAUUUGAUUUUUUUUUUUUACAUAUGUUGGGUAAAAACACACUAUUGGAUUGGCUUUUAGUGAAAAUGUGUCUAGUAAGGUGCGUUUUCACCCAUGUGGCAUUGCGUUCUUGCGAACCAAAUACUCAAAUUUCUAGAGAAAGAAAAACACAAUUUUCUAUCCAGAUGCUCAAUUCAUAAAACAAUGUAAAAAUUGUAAAAGAAAAAUCAUUAAUGAAAAUUUGUAAAAAUCAUAAAAUUUUAAGGUUUUUAUUUUUUUGCAUUCUAAAUUUUAAAAUUUUUAAUUAACACCUUAAAUUACAAUAUAUCUCAUAUAUAACAACAUUCUCUAACAACUACCAAAAUCAGACUAUUUACUCAAAUUCCUAAUUAAAAAUCACAAUUUUCUAACGAAAUACUCAAAAUCCUAUUGGAAACCCCACUUUGUAAAAAUUCUUUAAAAAAUGUAAAAAAAAAUUGUUAAAUAAAAAUUGUAAUAUUUAUAAUGCCAAAAAAAUAAUUUUACAAUUUUUAUGAUUUAUAAUUAAGAAUUUUACAAUUUUUUUAAGAAUUUUUACAAAGUUAGGUUUCCAAUAGGACUUUGAGUAUUUGAUUAGAAAAUUAUGAUUUUAUUAGGAAUUUGAGUAAAUAGUUGAUGGAUUUUGUACUUGUUAGAAGCUUAUAGGAAUAAUUGAUUAAAAGUUUUGUGUUUUAUGAAAGCUCAUGAAAAGUUCAUACUAAGAAGCUCACCCAAGAAUAAAAAGUCUGCUCUUGGUAGCACGUUUGGUUUUAUUUUAUCUUUUGGUAUUCUUGUGUUUUUUUUUUAAGUUUUGUUUCGUCUUUUUUAAGUUUUCUUUACAUUAGUUCUGGCGAGAAGACAAGAUGGAGAAGGAAAUGGAAGGCUUUAAAUCUUAAAGAUGAAGAAGAUGUUGGAAUUUCGUUGCCAAUAGAUUGGGAGGCACAAAAAUCGACUUACAAGUUAUGUUUGGUUGGUUAUUUCUUAACAGCGUGUAUUGUUCAUUUUCCGGCUAUGAAAAAUACUAUGGCAAAUCUUUGGCAUCCCUUAAGGGGAGUACUAAUAUCAAAUUUGGGAGAAAAAAAGUUUCUUUUCAAGUUUUUCCAUGAGAUGGAUAUCAAGUGUGUAAUGGAAGAGGCCCUAUAGACUUUCAAUAACCACUUGUUGAUUCAUCAUUGUUUAGAGAAUAAUGAAGACCUGAUGCAAGUUUCUCUGGUAUUUUCACCUUUCUGGAUUUAGGUUCAUGAUCUUCCCCCUGGUUUCUUUUCGAAAAGUGUGGUAAAAAAAUUGGGAAAAUUUGUUGGAUGUUUUGCGAAGUAUGAUGUGAAACCUCUGAGUAGAGUAUUCAUGAGUUUCUUGCAUUUUGAAGUAGAGGUGGAUACCAAGAAGCCAUUGAAAAGAAGAAAGAAGAUCAUGUUAUCCUAAUCAAAUUCAACUUAUGUCUCCCUUCGAUAUGAGAGGUUGACUUUAUUUUAUUUUCUUUGAGGGUGGUUGGGACAUAAUGAUAAAUUUUGCCUUGUCCGAUUAACAAAAGGGGAUGAGGUUUUGGAGUUGUGAUGGAACUCAAAUUUGAAAACAUAAUCUAGAAGAGUUGUGGUUGAGAAUAGUGUCUGGCUUCGGAAGGUAAGGGAUGACGAAUUUUGGGGAAGAAAUUUGACAAGCUAUGAUUUGGGGAGAAAUCAAAGGGAGGAUGUUAGGAGAGAUUUAAGGAAGAAAAUAAAUCCAAUCUUGGGAUUUAAUUUGGAGUGAUUUCCUAAAAAAAUGGAAAUAAAUUUCAUGGGAUCUUUUAAUGAUGUAAGCCAAUUUGAAAUGGACCAUGAUCUUGAGGAAAGCCCUGUUGCACAGUUGGACAAAAAAAGGCCCACGAUAGUCUUUUUGGACUCUAGCAUUUCGGGAAUGGAAGAUUCGCUAAAGACCACGAAUGAACAACAUAAUAUUUGCUCCCUUCUUAUAUUGGCGGAGACCAGGAGGCCUGCUGACCUUGAACCAUGAAAAUGAUAAGUUGGAAUGUCCACGGAUUAGGGAGUACGCAGGCGAUUCGAAGACUUCGGCACAUGCUAAAGAUCUGCAAUCUCCAAAUUAUCUUCUUAACGGAGAUUAAGUUGAAUAGUGUUCGAAUGGAGUGGGUCUGAAAGCAAUGUAUAUUUUCUAAUGGAACUGAUGUUUCAACAAAUAGAACGAGAGGUGGGCUUAGUUUAGCUUGGAACGAAAUUGAAUUGAACUGCGAAGUUAUUCUCAGAAUCACAUUGAUGCUGAAAUUUUGAUAGAUGACAAUGGUAGAUAAUGGAGAUUAACCGGAUUCUAUGGAAUCCUAGAUGUGCACUUUAGAGAGGAAGGGUGGAAUUUAUUACGAAGUUUAAGUCAUAAUUAAGACUUGCCAUGGCUUGUAUGUGGACAUUUCAAUGAAAUUUUAUAUUCUUUCGAGAAAUUUGGUAGGGUGCCAAGAGAUGAAAGAUGGAUGGAAUGUUUUUGUAGAAUGCUUGAUGAUUGUUGAUUAAUGGAUGUAGGGCAUGCUGGACCUCAAUUCACUUGAGAAAGGGGUAACCUUCUUGAAACUAAUAUUCGAGAAUGACUUAAUAGGGGUGGCUAAUGUUGAGUGGUUUGAUUUGUUCCCAGAUUUUUCAAUAAACCACUUACUUCAUUCUUUUUCCGAGCACGACCCCCUUCUAAUCAAAACUUAUCAAGAGAAUCAGCAGAGAAGUCGAAAGAAUUUUAAUUAUGAAUUGUGGUAGGUCUUGGAGGAAUCCUAUGAAGAGAAAGUAAGGUGUAUUUGGGAGUUGAAUUCUGGUUCUGUUCUGGAGAAACUUGAAGCGCUUUCAGCUAGGCUAAAAUGAUGGGCAAAGGGUAUAAAAAGCAAGCGAACCAAAGCUUAUAAAGGCUUGCAAGGCAAGCUGGGUCAGUUGCUGGAACUUGACAGGGAUGAUGAUACAUUGGCUGAGAUAAUCGAUAUAGAAAUCCAUCUUAAUAUGGAGAUUGAGAAGGAAUAAGCUUAUUGGGAGCAAAGAGCUAGGACAAACUGAAAAUGGAAGAUAUUCACAAUUUCUUUCAUAAUUCUUUUACAAUUUCGAUAUAAAACAUCAAAUUCUUUCACAAUUUCGCAUCCCAAAUAAGAUAUUCAAAUCGUAUCUCGAAGCUAAUGGAUGAAGUAGGUAAUGUAGCCAUGUCAAAAACUGAAGUGCAAGAAUUUACACGCAAAUACUUUACUAAUAUUUUUGCAUCAAUAGGAGUGGGUAAUAUGGAACACAUUCUGCCAGGAGCGGAUACUUGUAUAACAACAGAAAUGAAUCAGAUACUAUUGGCCAAUUAUAUAGAUGAUGAGGUGGUUUCAGCAUUCAAAUCAAUGGGUCUAACAAAAGCUGCUGGUUCUAACGGAUUCCCAGCGCUAUUUUUCCAAAAAAAUUGGAAUAUUGUCGGAAGAGAUGUAAGCGAAUUCUACCUUGGAGUUCUAAAUGAAGGUAUGAAUAUGGAACAGUUUAAUGCUACUAAUAUUUUGCUUAUUCCUAAAAUUGCUUAGUCAUUGAAUGUGAAUAAUUUUAGGCCUAUAAGUCUUUGCACGGUUAUAUAUAAAUUCAUUUCUAAAACUAUUGCGAAUCGAUUCCAACAAGUUGUAGAUUAUUGCAUCGACAAGGUCCAAAGUGCGUUUGUCCAAGGGCAUAUGAUAAUUGAUAAUGUCCUUGCUUUUGAAGUCUCACACUCUUUUAAGCAAAAAAAAAAAAAAAAAUAGGGGAAAAGGCUCUUUCGCCUUGAAAUUAGAUAUAAGCAAAGCCUAUGAUCGAGUUGAUUGGGGGAUUUUUUACAACAUAUGAUACUGAAGAUGGGCUUUGAUAGAAUUUGAGUGAAUUUUAUUAUAAAGUGUAUUAGCUCGAUUUCGUACUCCAGUAUGAUUAACAAAAAAAAAAGGGACAAAAAUUCUUCCCCACAAGAGGGUUAAGACAAGGGGGCCCAUUAAGCCCUUAUCUAUUUCUGAUUUACAGUGAAAGUUUGUCUUCCUUAAUGAAAUUGGCAAAAAGGGAAGGAGAGUUGGGAGGGGUCAAAGUGAGCAGACGAGGACAAAAAAUUUCAUAUCUCUUGUUUGUUAAUGAUUGUAUUAUUUUCGUAGGGGGUGAAUGUUCUUAAAUGACUACUCCAAGAGUAUGAGGAAGUUUUGGGUCAAUGUAUAAAUUAUGAAAAAUCAACUAUUUUCUAUAGUUUGAAUACUUCUGAGCAGACUAAACAGGCAAUAGCGUAAAUCUUACAUGUCUGCGUUUCUACAAACCCGAAAAGUAUUUGGGGCUUCCUAAUUUGGUUGGUAAGGGGAAGAAAGAGGCCUUUCAAAUUGAUAGCUGGAGCACCAGGUUUCUUUCUUAAGGAGUUAAAGAAAUUUUUAUAAAAUCAAAUUAACAGGCUAUUCUGACUUAUACGAUGACUUGUUUCUUUACUUCCAAUCUCUCUUUGUAAUGAAAUAGAAGGCAUAACUGCAAAGUUCUGGUGGCAAAAAGGGCAUGGGAAGAUUGGUGUGAAUGGAGAAAACUGUGCGAUUUAAAGGAAAAUGGUGGUCUUAGGUUUCGAUGUUUAGCAAAAUUCAAUAUUUUGUUACUUGCAAAAUAAGGACGACGAUUAAUUAAUUAUUCGAAUUCUUUGUUAGCUCGUACAUUAAAAGCUAAAUACUAUCCUGAAACUGACUUUCUAAAUGCAAAAUUAGAGAGAAUACCUUCAUAUACUUGGUGAAGUAUUUGGGCUUCAAAAGGAAUUCUCCAAGAUGGAAUGUGCUGGCGAGUGGGAACAUGUAAUAAAAUCUCAGUGACACCUUUAUUUUGGAUCUCAUCCAUAGUUUGAACACCAUGAAAAUGAACACAAGGAAGGUGAAGGACAAGGGGAGCAACUUAUCCACGG
rnacentral:lncRNA from 1 species